rnacentral:rRNA from 1 species
UGGGGAAUAUUGCACAAUGGGCGCAAGCCUGAUGCAGCCAUGCCGCGUGUGUGAAGAAGGCCUUCGGGUUGUAAAGCACUUUCAGCGGGGAGGAAGGCGUUAAGGUUAAUAACCUUGGCGAUUGACGUUACCCGCAGAAGAAGCACCGGCUAACUCCGUGCCAGCAGCCGCGGUAAUACGGAGGGUGCAAGCGUUAAUCGGAAUUACUGGGCGUAAAGCGCACGCAGGCGGUCAGUCAAGUCGGAUGUGAAAUCCCCGGGCUCAACCUGGGAACUGCAUUCGAAACUGGCAGGCUAGAGUCUUGUAGAGGGGGGUAGAAUUCCAGGUGUAGCGGUGAAAUGCGUAGAGAUCUGGAGGAAUACCGGUGGCGAAGGCGGCCCCCUGGAAAAAGACUGACGCUCAGGUGCGAAAGCGUGGGGAGCAAACAGG